rnacentral:tRNA from 1 species
GGUGAGAUGGCCGAGCGGUCUAAGGCGCCAGACUAAGGAUCAGAACAUCUGAUGUUCAACCGUAUGCGCAAGCAUAUCUGGUCCUCCGGGGCGUGGGUUCGAAUCCCACUCUCAUCA